GUUACAACUAAGGUUAUAUAUGAGUUAUUUAUACUAUCUUAGAAUUUGCUGCUUUAGAGGCACGGCAUUUAGUGUCACAUUAAUUUACUGUUUUAGACACGUGGCAUGUGGUAUCCCACUAUUACAACUAAGUUUGUGUAUGGCUUGUUUAUAUUAUUUCAGAAUUUGCUAUUUUAGACACUUGGUAUAAGCUGUCAUACUGUAAGUUUAAAUUGGUUGUAAAAUUUAUAUUGUAACUUGCAUUUCUAUUGGCGUGCAUAUUUAUUUAGUUGAGUCAAGACUAAGUUUAUA
rnacentral:lncRNA from 1 species